CCCUGUACGUGUGGUAUCCCCAGCUGUCUCCCUGUUUCUCCAAGUGCCAACCACUCCACAGAUUCAGCUCUUCCCGUGGAGAAAAUCAUGGAGCCCCCGGUUCCGGCCCAGACACUUAGUGUAAUAAUGGCGUUGCUUCUUACAGGUGGUGAUAAAAGGGGGCUGUAAAUAGCUGGUUAAAUGGAUGCAAAUGUACACAAUGUACGGUAGAAUUACCGGGUGCCGCACUGGGCAUCUGCCAAGAACAGCUACUGCCACGGGAAGAGGGACCAGGAGGGAGCAAAGAAAGUUGUUCCAUUUUGUUUCUGAACAACGAAUGAGACUGGGGAUUCAAAGUACUUUCAAGUAUCCGGGAGACCACGCCUUGCUUUUGGCUCUGUGCUUAAAAACCAGGAACUAGCCAUGUAACUGGACAAUUAAGCUCUCUGGACCUUAGUUUUCCCUUCUGCAAGCAAGGAAGUUGGGCUACACACAUUCUAAGGUCAAAUCUUCUCUGUCCACCUUCCCUGGGAAAAAGCUAAAUGGAGCACCAAGAGCCAGAAGGGUUUGCACAGAAGAAAAGAAAGGGGAAGAAGCUCUGGCAACUCUGACUGAAUAUCUGAGUCCCAAGUCAUCUCAACUUAAGGGCACUGGGAUCUGGGGGCCAGGAAGGGGCCUUAUUUUCCUUUGGGAAGACAGGCGUGGGCCUCAGGAGAAGCAAAGUCCUUGUAUUCUGAAUCACUGAGUCACUAAUCAAGUGGCUAACUGUGUUAGCGACAUCUGCAGAAGCGGGAGGGAGAGGCAGGGAGAGGAGCAGCAGGAAGGAGAAGGAAGUGGGGGAGGAGACGUGGAUGAAAGGGAAGCAUUUACAGCAUGUGGAGCAUGAUGAAGAGCAACUUGAACGUCAAGGGCACCAAAUGAAGGUCUGGGAGCCCAGGAAGGGAGGGAGCAAAUUCAUUCUGCUGGAAAUAGACAUGACUGCAGCGGUGAAAAGGACUCAUGGAUUCAGGGUGGCUUGAUUUGAUUAUGGCAACAGGAAGUACAGGAGAGGGCAGAAUAACCUGGCCUGAGGAAGUGAAUUAAAUAAUAGAGAAGACAUCAUAGUUGCCAUGGCAUUAAAACACCUCGCAGCACAUUAAGCUUCCUUUUUUCUCUUUGCUUAAUUCCUGUUCUUGCAACCUGUUAAUGGCAUUGUAGUACAUCCAGUAAACUAAAUUCAGAUGCUCUGGAACAUGGGGAAGGAAGAAUGCAGCCCAGACCUUGUCUAGGUCCACUCUGGGCAAGUAUUCUUCCUCUGUUGUGUGCCUGGUUCUUUUGGUCUUUGCAUCAUGGAAUAUGAAAACCCCUGUCAGGCUUGGGUCUGGUGAAGCUGCUGAGUGAUGUAAUUUGAAAAAAGAGGGAGAGAGGGAGAGAGAGAGAGAGAGAGAGAAAUUGAAAAUAAUUUUCAGAGGCAACUGCUUUAGAAAUUACUUCACAAAAAGCAGUAGGAUGCAAAAAUUUGAAAAAAAUACAACUACCAUCAAAACCAAAUGUGUUUAAGUAUUUUAUCUUAUUGCUUUAAAAAAUUAUUUUCUUGGGCUUUAAUUAAGAUGAUUGCAUCCUGUAGUCAGUCAUAUGCAAAAGCUAACAUUGCAGAGAGUGGCUACUUUGUGUACUCUUUGGCCUUACUUUACACAGAAUGAAUGGAAGAGUUAUUUCCAGCUGACUUAUUUAUCACAAAUAUCACAACAUUCAUCAAGGCUCAGACCCUGACCUUCCUUAAGUGGACUCACAUUAACCAGCCCCCAGAGACUGAUGUACAUACCUGAAUUAUGACCAAAAACCUGGAAUACUCAUCCUAUCAGAAUAAAUGAAAUUAGUUGUGUGGUCCCUAAGAGAAGUACUCCUGACACAAUGUCCUGAAAGCAUGAUGUGCCUCCCGGCCCCACCCAUCCCUCUGUAGAUAACCCUGCCAGUUUCUUAGGCUUUGGGCUUCUUUUGUUGCAUGCUUGUGUCUCUUCAAACCCCACGUAGCAUCCUACACAGCCAAUUAGGCAGAUUUGCACAUAAUCACAUUCUGUUCCUACCUUUCUGCUAUUACAGUCAAGCCAUGUUGAUAUGAAUUUGGGGUAUCUCCAUAUUCUUCAGUCACUGUCUUGGUUUACUGCUGCUGAAUUCUAGUCAAAUCUGUUGUGGGUGCAGAUUUUGCUAGUUUAACUUUCUGAGAGUGAAGUGGUUCCCAGGUUCUUGGAGAAGCACCUCAUUUUUUCUUCAUGGGCUGUCAACAGUGGCCUAACCUUCCUUAGGCUACUGUAUACUUUGGGUAAAGUGACCAAGUUAUUAAGACACAGAUGUCCUGGGCUGUCGUAGAGCUGCCCAUGUUUUUCUGGGUACCAAGCUCAGGGAUAUUUUUCUUCUGUGAGGGAAUAGAGAGGCUGGCCUUGUGCUAUGAUGAGCUAUGAAAUUUCACCUUGAGGUGCAGGUGCCAUCUACUGUAACAUGCCUGGAGAGCAAAGUGUCCUCCUCAUUGCCCCAAAAGGGCUCUGAUUUUAAACUCAAUAUCUAGCAAUGAAAAUAUUCACAUGGCCCUAUUAACUCAAGCCACAAACAAUCAGCAUUGAUCAGUGUUUCUGGGAUACCUGGCAUUGAAAUUACUCCCUCAACCCAUAGGUUGACCACACCCAGAGAAGCUUGGUACAAAGCCAUCCCUUCUCUGCAUGUACUGUGCUGGGGGACCUGCCUUGCAGUCUUCCUGAAUGCUCAGUGUCCUUUUAGGUCAUUUAAGGUCCUAUUGAUCCUCCUUGCUGCGUCUAUAUAUCAAUUCCCAGGAAAAGAUGCUGUGGCCAACAUUUUGGAAUAUCUUUCUGCCAAAUUUAAAAAGCCCAGCUCAAAUGUUCCCAUACUCAAGAUAGAGGACCAUAAAGAAGCAACCCUGUGGGCAGGCCUAGCCCUGUUUCCUUGGAGAACAAUGCUAAUGGAGCAGCCCUGCUGUGGGGGCAGGUCCUCUGCAAGCUUCAGGCAUCUCUUCCCUACUUGGCAUCUGGACAUUCCUCAACCCUGGGCUGAGCAUGGGUUUCCCAUCAGAGCGAGCAGCCUAGUUAUUGCUCAGCUGUGAGGGUGGGGCACCUCUCCCAUAUUACCUGUACUCCUCUUUGGACUACCUCUCCCUCAAAUCUUUACCCAUUCAGGUGUGGCUAAAGGUGGUGAUUUGAAGCAGGCUAAGAUCAUUCUUAGUUGUAUGAGAUACAAGAGCGGGGCAAGUCAAUUUUCUUUUGCCUCCCACCAAUCCUGUAUAAGAUUUGGGUAUUUUGCAAUUAACUUUCCUAUUUCAAAAUAGUUUUAUUGAAAAUUUAUACAGUGGAUUUAUGUUAUUUAUAAGUUCAGUUUCAUCCACUGGUCUAUUUCUCUUGUCAUUUUUUUUCUAGUAUUUGGAAAGCUUUAUCCUGAAUAGAAAAUAAUUUGGUAUCUAUGAUUUUAUUCGUAUCUGAUCGUAAUCCCCCAGACCAUAGUGGUUUAGACAUGCCCAGGAACUCGCAACUAAAACAUGGCUGAAUGGGGCUCAAAUCAAGGCCUACUGGGCCUUCAACCAUACCACACAUCUCGUACAGAGUAAUGAGAACUUUUAGAGGGUGGGCAUGGGAGGACAGGAGAGAAAUGAGAAGAGAAUGACAUUUAGAGACUAUCUACUGUAUCCCAGAAGCUUCAUCCUGUGAUUUCAUUUAAUCCUGGAAAUGACCUUACACACUAUUACCUCCAUUUAUAGAUGAGGAAACCUGAACCUCUGAGUUUAAAUAACUUGAUCACUUGCCUGAGGUCACAUAACUAGUGGUAGUGGGCCUGGAGCCAUAGCUGCCCAAACCAUGAAGAAGCACAUACAGAGGCAAGGGAAAUAACAAAAUCAUGGUGGAGAAGCAGUUCUAAAAGAUGUCUGAGUAAAGGAAAGUUCUGAGGAAGCUCUAUGUCAAAUUUCAUGGUGCCACACAAGCUGGAUUUGUGAAGGACAAAACCGCAAGAGCAUAUACAUAGCUGACCUCAGAUGGCAGAGAGCUUUGAAUUUAUCUCUGGAGUACACUCAUAUGGAGGUGUCCCAAGUGAUCCCCCUUAUUUGAGAUGAUGUACUACUUGGGCUCAAGUUGUUCAGUUUGCUUUUCUGGCUAUGAUGGCUGAGGUGGAGGGCAGAAAUUUCUGUUGGUACCCAGCAGAAUGCUGGCUGUGGAGGUGUCUGGGGGACAUGUGCAGGCAGAUCACCAGGACGUGUUCUCUGCCAGUGAGGGACCCAUCCAAACAGGCCCAGCAGAGCAGGUGGCUGGAUAUGGCCAUCAUGAGAGCCAUUUACAUCUGACAGAUGACUUUUGAGCUGUGGGCAUAGAAGAGGACAGAAAAAUACUCCUUGGAGAACUUCAUUAAAUUUUUUAAGAAAUCUGAUCUUAAGCUACAAUUCUUAAGCCACCAGUUACUUUAUUACUUGUAGAAGAAAAACACUCAUUGUAGAGAUGUUAGAAAGAUAAAGUAUCAGAAAGAAGAAAGUAAAACUCAAUUGAAACCCUAACAAGCAGCAGUAAUCUCUCUAAAGAAUGUGGUAUAUGUCCUUUCAGACACUUCAAAAUAUAUAAGGGUAGACAAAAUGGUCUUAUAGGCUAUAUAAUAUUCUGUAAUUUUUCGAUUAACUCCAUUCUUAAAAAUUUAUAUUAGUUAACUACCCAAUAGUAUAUUGUUUCUAUGUAUUACAGUUCAACAUUUUUUUCCUACUGUCAUUCAAGAUGGAUUUGUAGACAGUAUUCUUAGAACUAGUAAUAAAAAUGUAAGAAAUCUGUAUUCUAGGAAUUAUGUAUAGAAAAGCAGUCAUAGGCUUUAGAGGACAGUAGAUAACAUAUUUGCAAAGCACAACAUUUGGAAAAAUACACCAAAAUGUUAAGGCAGGGUAAUAUGAUCUCAAGUUAUUUAAUUUUUUCUGUUUGCUCACUUAAAAAAGUUUUCCUAUAAUGACUAUUAUUAACGUGUACCAUCAUGAAGGGAGAUUAUUUUUUAGAAAACCCUUCCAGCUAGAGGCAAGUUUCUUUACUUUUCUAGGCUUUAUUUCCUUUAUGUGUAAUAUGGAUAUUCUCAUAAUUACGACUCCAUAGAGUGGUUGUGAGCAUUAAUCAAUAUCAUGCAGGUAACACACUUUAAGAAGUUUCAGACACAUGUUAAGUGCACAGUACCUAAUGGACACCACUGUCCUGACUGUCAUUAUAUUGAUUAAUGCUUCUGCUUCUACUCUUGCCCUCUCAUGGAGUAGGAGAGUAGCCUUUCAAGUCAGAUCACACAAGCCAUUGCCCUGCUUAAAGCCUUCCAGUGUUGUCCUUGCCCUUAGGAGCAGAUGCAGACAUCUUCCCCAGGCUACAAAGCCCUCAUAAUCUGGUCCCAUGCCACCUCUGCAAGCAAUGCUCACAUCCCCUUCCUUCCUUCUCAGAUGCUGCACUCCAGCCACACUGACCCUUUUGUUCCUGGAAUAAAGUAGAACUCUGUCCUACGUCAGGGCAUUUGCACACACUGCUCCCUUGACUUGGAAUUCUCUUGCCUGUAUCUUCUUAUAGCUGGGUUUCUGUCUUAGUAGAAAAGUCCCAUCUCAGGGAGGCCUCCUUCGGCCAUCCAACCAAAAGGAGCUCCACAGCCACACGUCUGCUUAAUACUUGCCCGGGUUAAUUUUCAUCCCAGUAUUUGUCCCUACUUUUCAUGUUUUGUGUAUUUGUUUUAUUCUGUUACCUAGUGUCAGUCUCCCCAUAGACCUAGUUUGUUUUGCCUGUUUUCGCUGGAAUACCUAGAACAGGGCCCAGCACAUGGACAGAGGUGUUUAGUAGACUGUUGCUGAAGGAUUUAAUUAAUUAAGUAGAUUAUCUUUGUCAAGUGAAUGAACACUUUAAUCACUUCCUAUCACCUUCUCCUCAGCGGGCUGCUGUUUUCCUGAAGAGGAAAAGGCAAUCACAGCACUUUAUUUCUACACUUCCCCUCCCAGUUAAAAAGAGGAUGAUUUAAAAAAAAUCAAAACAGUCUGUUUCUCAGAAUACCCCCCAUGUGGCCAGAUUCAUAGUUUUCCAUUCUAGAUUGAGACAUAUUUUAAAAUACAGGCUGCCCCGAUUUGAAAAGAGUACUGGUAGCCUUUAACUCUUGAUACAGGAGGCCAGACAGGCAAGUCCCCGCUCUACAAAGAGGUCAUGCUCCCCAUGUUUGUUUCCAACACAGAAAGCAUUUUCACUGGAAACAAUGUUCCCAGAGUAGUCCACAAAAAACCUAUUUAACCCACAAUGUUCGGUAGAAAAAAAUAUGUUGAAAUUCCAGGAAACAAAGCAGGGAAAAUGAAUGAGAAGUACAGUUUAAAUGUCUAUCUUGAAUACUAGUUAGUGCUUGAGGAAAAGCAGCUGCCAUCAGAGGGAGAUGAGGAAGGAGGGCCAGGGGUGUGGCAGACUCUGAGAGCAGGGUAGAAGCUGUCAUGGCCUGCCUCAGUUUUGCAUCUGCUGGGCUGAGGCUUCAGAAAAAGUCAUGCCACUCAUGACUGAUUGGGCAGGUCUGUGCCUGUCUGAAGGCACAUUCCUGCAGAUCUACAUGCAGCAGAGAGGGGUUGGGGGGCGGUGCUGAUGUCAACACCUCCACGCAUUGAAUUCUAGAGGCUAGAAUCAACAUGGGGGAGAGAAUUCAUCGGCAAAACCUAGGUCCAAGCACAUCAUAACUAAUUGGUGGCUCAAAAGCUUCCUCAGGGAUUUCCUGCUUAUCUAAGUAUAAACAUGAAAAUACAACUUAAAAAAUAAUAGGUUCAGUUUUGGUUUCAUCCCUGAAAAUAAUCAUUUCAUCACUGAAAUUACCACUAGGUAGUUUCAGGCAUUUCCACCCACAUAUCUGGUCUUUGUGGCAUUAUUUUGAAGCCAAAGCUUUUAUUGCCUCCAAGUCAGGCCUCACAGAGCAGAGAGGUCUCCUUAUAUAGGAGCUCUUCUAAAAUUUUUUGUUAUUUUAAUAAGAAACUGUUCUCUGUACCCUGAAACAAUUUCAAUUAGCCCUAAUUUGGGGAGCUUGAACAGAGGGUCUCCUCAUAGAAUUGGUAAAGAAGGAGGCAAAGAGAUUUAACAGAUGGUUUAUUAUUAUUUCUUGAAGGAGGACCUCACAAUUGUUAAGUGUUAUAUAUAUACCAUUGUAAAUGAACUCUUAAAGAUCACUUAAAAGCAAUAGAGGUAAAUAGUUAUACUUGUAGCCAUGAUGAAUCUGAAUUAAGUGGACAAAUACAAAAUGAGAUAGCACUUCCAAUGACAGUGUCUGGUACGGACUUUAAAGUGCUUUAGGCAGGAGAAGAAUGUGCUCUGGAAAACUGUGUUAGAUGAUCCCCAAAAGGCCCCAGUGAUGUUGAAAAUGUUUAUGAAGAGUCUGAAUAAUAUUGUGUUAUAUAAUGUGAGAUUGGAUUGCAAUGUUUCUGAAUUAAGAUAUUUUGUAUAUAAUGUGAGAUUUAAAUAUAUGCUCAACCAAAUUAAUAUAUUAAA